UUACCCUACGGGACGCAGCAGUGGGGGAUAUUGCACAAUGGGCGAAAGCCUGAUGCAGCGACGCCGCGUGAGGGAAGACGGUCUUCGGAUUGUAAACCUCUGUCUUUGGGGAAGAAAAUGACGGUACCCAAAGAGGAAGCUCCGGCUAACUACGUGCCAGCAGCCGCGGUAAUACGUAGGGAGCAAGCGUUGUUCGGAAUGACUGGGCGUAAAGGGUGUGUAGGCGGUGUAGCAAGUUAGAAGUGAAAUACCUAGAGCUUAACUCAGGUGCUGCUUCUAAAACUGCUAUACUUGAGUGCAGUAGA
rnacentral:rRNA from 1 species